rnacentral:rRNA from 1 species
UGGCUAACUCCUACGGGAGGCAGCAGUGGGGAAUUUUGGUCAAUGGGCGGGAGCCUGAACCAGCCAAGCCGCGCGAGGGAAGAAGGUACAGCGUAUCGUAAACCUCUUUUGUCAGGGAACAAAGGCGGGGACUAGUCCCCGGAUGAGGGUACCUGAAGAAAAAGCAUCGGCUAACUCCGUGCCAGCAGCCGCGGUAAUACGGAGGAUGCGAGCGUUAUCCGGAUUUAUUGGGUUUAAAGGGUGCGCAGGCGGCCUGUUAAGUCAGCGGUAAAAGCCCGGGGCUCAACCUCGGCGAGCCGUUGAAACUGGCGGGCUGGAGUUGGAGAGAAGUACGCGGAAUGCGCGGUGUAGCGGUGAAAUGCCUAGAUAUCGCGCAGAACCCCGAUUGCGAAGGCAGCGUACCGGCUCCACACUGACGCUGAGGCACGAAAGCGUGGGUAUCGAACAGGAUUAGAAACCCUGGUAGUCCAGCUGG